GACGAACGCUGGCGGCGUGCUUAACACAUGCAAGUCGAACGGAAAGGCCCUGAUAUUGUGGGGUGCUCGAGUGGCGAACGGGUGAGUAACACGUGAGUAACCUGCCCUUGACUUUGGGAUAACUUAAGGAAACUGGGGCUAAUACCGGAUAGGAGCUCCUGCUGCAUGGUGGGGGUUGGAAAGUUUCGGCGGUUGGGGAUGGACUCGCGGCUUAUCAGUUUGUUGGUGGGGUAGUGGCUUACCAAGGCUUUGACGGGUAGCCGGCCUGAGAGGGUGACCGGCCACAUUGGGACUGAGAUACGGCCCAGACUCCUACGGGAGGCAGCAGUGGGGAAUAUUGCACAAUGGGCGGGAGCCUGAUGCAGCAGCGCCGCGUGCGGGAUGACGGCCUUCGGGUUGUAAACCGCUUUCGCCUGUGACGAAGCGUGAGUGACGGUAAUGGGUAAAGAAGCACCGGCUAACUACGUG
rnacentral:rRNA from 1 species